UAUAUAUAUAUAACUAGCAGUGAGCUCGAUGGGUCAGGAAGUUGCCAUAACCGUUUGGUGCAAACCCAUCUAUUGAUAUAGGGUGUAGCGAGCUGGAGCGUGAGCUCGGUGUCUAAGUGAGUAACUGUGCAUAUGAAGGUGGCAGCAAGGCCAACACCAGUGGCGGCCCUGGUCCGUUACCUCCUUCCUCUUGAAGUGAGGUUAUAAAUUGAAGGAUUGUGGCCACGGUUAAGGAAAAAGGAAAGGAACCCCUCUGCAAGCUGCUGGAAAUUGAUACACAAAGCAAGAAAAAUUAGAAGAAGAAGAAGAAAAAAAAGAAGGAAGGGAGAAGAAGAAGGAAAGAAGGGAGAAGAAGCAAGGCGCAGGAGCAGGGGCGCGGGAAGGAGAAGAAGAGAGGAAGAAGAAGAAGAAAGAAAAUGAAAUAAAGAAAAGAAAAAAAAAAUAAUAAAUAAGAGAAAAAUAAUAGAAUUUUUGGAUUUUCGGCAUGAGAAGUGAUCAGCAAACAUUUUACUUCGUAGCGGGAGUGCAAGAAAGGCAGGAAACGGCCGUGUAAAGGCAAA